AGUUAAAAAAAAAACUAGAAAAACAGACAACUGAAGCAAAAUGAAUUUGGCCAGAAAUUCUAGUUGUAGGACUAAGACAGACACUUUCCUGUGUGAUUCAUCUCUAUGCUGAGGCGUUUUGCUUUCCUAUCAUCAUACACACGGGAUGUAGGCGGCAGCUGUCCCUUUGCCAGCUGGAUGUUGCAGUCCAGUAGCUCAGGUACAUGCACUUGAUCAGAGACUGAUGCAGAGUGCUCAGCGUGUACAGACAUUGAAGUUCAGUUCCCGGAGCCCAUGGUGGAAGGAGAGACUGGACUUCACAAGCCCUGCUCUGACCUCCUAAGCACACUGCGAUAGAGCACUUUCUCUCACAGAAGUCAGCGGCACAUCUCACUUUCUAUGAAGGUCACGGAGGAUGUGGAAGAUCUGACUUGUGCAUUUUAUUCUGGACCUGGAAAGGAAUAAGCUGAGAGAGGGGAGACAAGGACAUAGCAACAUUUCUCGGGAGCUAUGGGAAGAAGCAAAAAAAGUGAUGGAGCACAGAUGGUAAUUUCCGGAAAUGGCAGGAUCAGGAUCACCUGUACCAAGAGCAACUGCCUCCCCAGCUCAUUUCUUCUGUAUCUUUCUGGAUCCUUACAAUUGAAUCACCAAUUCUGCCCAAGCAACACACCAGUUUAGCCCCAGCCCUGGGACAAACCCUAGCUGAAUCAUGCAGUUAGGCAUCAGUACCAUCUUCUACCGGUUCUACUGGACCUUGGAGGUUAUCAGUGGCGUGUGGGAAAUGAUUAGCUGAUAUCUCCUCCUUUUCAUCAUCGUCUGGGACAUACCUCAGGCUUCUGCCAAUGAUUUCUCCUUGAAACAGCUUACACAUCUCUCAGAAUGGGACUGUUUCCAGAAGCCCUCCUCACUGAAUUGUACUCUU